AGAAUCAACGCUGGCGGCGUGCCUAACACAUGCAAGUCGCACGAGAAAGGGUAGCAAUACCUGAGUAAAGUGGCGCACGGGUGAGUAACACGUGAAUGAUCUACCUCCGAGUGGGGAAUAACUGAGAGAAAUCUUAGCUAAUACCGCAUAACACUUACGAGUCAAAGCAGCGAUGCGCUUGGAGAGGAGUUCGCGGCCGAUUAGUUAGUUGGCGGGGUAAUGGCCCACCAAGACGAUGAUCGGUA
rnacentral:rRNA from 1 species